rnacentral:rRNA from 1 species
GGUUGUCGUCAGCUCGUGUCGUGAGAUGUGGGUUAAGUCCCGCAACGAGCGCAACCCUCGACCUUAGUUGCCAGCAUUCAGUUGGGCACUCUAAGGUGACUGCCGGCUAAAAGUCGGAGGAAGGUGGGGGAUGACGUCAAAUCAUCAUGCCCCUUAUGACCUGGGCUACACACGUGCUACAAUGGGCGGUACAAAGGGUCGCGAACCCGCGAGGGGGAGCCAAUCCCAAAAAGCCGCUCUCAGUUCGGAUUGCAGGCUGCAACUCGCCUGCAUGAAGCCGGAAUCGCUAGUAAUCGCGGAUCAGCAUGCCGCGGUGAAUACGUUCCCGGGCCUU